CAGAGCAGAAUGGAGUGAUUGUGAAUCAUUCCAGGAGCUGCAUUUGGACUUACAGUGAUCACUGAGGAAAUCAGGACGAUGAUGCAUGAUGGUGCUGGAGGAGUGGGCAAUGUCCUAUAGUCCCAAAUUCCUAGAGCACCCUAUGGGGCCUUGACUAUAGCGCCAUCUAGCGCUGUCUCGUGGCGUAGCGGGGAGCCCAAAGCAAGCAGCCGUGGACGAUUGCUCACCUCUUGCUCCCGUGGGCUUGGUGGUCUGAAAAAAGCACAGAGUCAUUGCACAAACGUUUGAAAGGAGUUUGGGGAGAAGAAGCCAGGAAGACAUGAGAUCAGCUGUUGGCGCUUUGAAGAACUGACCUCCCGGAGGAAGAAGAAAGUCUACGUGGCUCCAGAUCUUGUGGUAGCGCAAGUAAUCUUUUCCCUGACUGACUGGUAUCUUCUAUGAUGAAAGGGACCUUGCAGAUGUGAUAAGGUGUGACCUCAAAACUAACUUCCUCAAGGAAGCCCUGGCCAUAAUGAUCCCCUCAUGUCCUGGGUUGAAUGGGACCCUUCAGAAGUUGCUGUUCACCCAAAACCUGUGAAUGUGACCCUACAUGGAAACAAG
rnacentral:lncRNA from 1 species